AGUGGCGGACGGGUGAGUAAUGUAUAGUUAAUCUGCCCUUUAGAGGGGGAUAACAGUCGGAAACGACUGCUAAUACCCCAUACUCCUUUUAUCUUAAUGGUAAUUGGGAAACGUUUUUUCGCUAAAGGAUGAGACUAUAUGGUAUCAGGUAGUUGGUGGGGUAAGAGCCUACCAAGCCAAUGACGCCUAGCUGGUCUGAGAGGAUGAUCAGCCACACUGGAACUGAGACACGGUCCAG
rnacentral:rRNA from 1 species